AAACGCUUGAAGUCAGUCGCGUCUGCGGGGACUCAGCCUUGCUUCUGCUUGGUGCACUUCCCUGUUGGACGGGCCAGCAUCGAUUUUGACCGGCAGAUAAGGUCUGGGGGAAUGUGGCACCCGUUUGGGUGUGUUAUAGCCCUCGGUGAUAUGCUGGUUGGGAUCGAGGAACUCAGCACGCCUUCAUGGCCGGGGUUCGCCCACGUAACGUGCUCAGGAUGCUGGCAUAAUGGCUUUAAACGA
rnacentral:rRNA from 1 species